GGCAGAUGCCUCUUUGUCCGCGCCGAGCCCCAUGGCCAGCUCGAAUAAUUGGAUUUUAAUAAAACGGAUGGGAGCGCGGGAGCAGUUCACCACCCUGGCCUGUGCCGAGGCCCUGCAAUUAAACCGAUUAUGUCUUGAGAGUCAAGCUGUCUGACUCGAGGCCCUAAUUUGGCAGCGCUGGCCAGCUCUGCCAGCGCGGUUGUUUAUUUAUUUACCCGACUUUCGCAGGCUAGGGGUCCAAUCGGAUCUGUAGCCACUGGCCUACACCACAGCCGCAGCAACGCGGGAUCUGAGCCGCAUCUGCGACCUACACCACAGCUCACAGCAACGCCGGAUCCUUAACCCACUGAGCAAGGCCAGGGAUCGAACCCGCAACCUCAUGGUUCCUAGUCGGAUUCGUUAACCACUUCGCCAUGACAGGAACUCCAGCAGCCCCUUUAAGUGGGGUGCAGUCAGUGGGUGGCCUGGGAGCAGGUCCCAUCAGGUGGCCACCCUUUGGGCCAAGGGCUGGGGGUGGCUUGUGUCCCUCCACCCCCAAGGCAGCCCCCCAAGGCUGGGCCCCUGGGGCCAGGGGCCAGGGAACGGGAGUGGUUCUCGCUGUCGUCUUCAUGAGCCCCUCUGCCCAAGGCCCUUCCUCUCUUGACACCUCAUUUUCCUCCUCUGCAAAAUGAGGUUGCGGCCCCCCUGGAUCCGGGAAGAUGCCUGUUUCAUCAAGGAAGGUCCUAGGGACAGCCCCACCUGCUUGGCGCCCAUCUUGCCCCUCAGCGCCCUUCUGUCGCUGUCCCAGGACCCUCGUCCGGAGCCUGGAAGCCCUUAGGGUGGGCUUGCCCCCUGCCCCCCAUCCCAGGCUGAGAUGCUCUCCCGCCCCCACCAGGUACCGGUGACCUCACCGGUCAGGCCCCACUCUAUGCGCCUUACAAACCCCAUGAACGCGUGUCAUCCUCACUGUGACCCUGCAGGGAGGUGCCGGAAGCCUCCCCAUUUUCCAGAUGAGGAAACCGAGGCUCAGGGAAGCUCAUGACUUGCCAGGGGGGACAGGGAUAUUAAGUAGCAGAGCUGGGAUGUGAACCGGUGUCUGGCCGGCUUUCCCUCUGCACUCAGCUCACCUAGGGCUGGUCCAGAGGAGGCUGGCAUCUCGUUGACACAGGCCUGGCUUGGAGCAGGGUCACCGAAGGGCAGGACGGUACUUUGGGAGAGGCCAUGUGCCAGCCUCAUGGUGCAGAGGGGCUGUGUGGACUGGGCCGGCCUUCUCCGUGUCCAGUUUCAGGGGCUGAUGGAGCUGGGCCCUCAGGACCAGCGAGGUGGAGUCGGGGUGGGGGGAGAAGGACCCCCGUGGAACUUGCUCUGGGGCAGCGCUGCCCACCUUGUGCUCUGGAACCUCCAAACUUCUGAUGCCUCUGCACACACAGCCCAUGGCUCCACACGGCCGGCAUCACGGGCCGGUGCACUGGGGACCAGGAGCCCUGCAAACCCCCAAGGACCCUGAGGACAAGAAGGGACGGUGGUUUUCUGCCCUGCAUGUGUGAGAUGGCUAGUGGCAUUCAAAGAUCUGCCUGGGAGUUCCUGUCGUGGCACAGUGGUUAAUGAAUCCAACUAGGAACCAUGAGGUUGUGGGUUCGUUCCCUGGCCUUACUCCGUGGGUUAAGGAUCCGGCGUGGCCAUGAGCUGUGUGGUGUAGGUUGCAGACGCGGCUCGGAUCCCACGUUGCUGUGGCUCUGGCGUAGGCCAGCGGCUACAGCUCCAAUUAAACCCCUAGCCUGGGAACCUCCAUAUGCCAUGAGAGCGGCCUGGGAAAAGGCAAAAAGACAAAAAAAAAAAANAAAA
rnacentral:lncRNA from 1 species